GCCGCCGCGGAGCCGGCGUCCGCAGCGGCUGCGCAUCUCGGGCCUGCAGCGGGGCGCUUGGCGGGCGGGGGCCGGGGGAGAGCCUGUUUGCGCAGUACCCCCGGAGGGCGGAAGGCCGCCGAGAGAAACAGCAAGUGACAGAGCAGAGGAACGGCUGGCCCAGCCAAUCCUGGAGCUGCUGUUGCAGCACUUGUUCCCCAAACAAGUGCUCCUACAUUCUGAUGACUCAGUGUAUCGGGAGCCGGGAGAUGGAGCUCUCAGCAGAGUGGCCAGGAUGUUCUGUCAACAUGAAAGCUACAAAAACAGCUCGGGGCUCUGAGCUGAUCCUUAGCCUGGGGUCAUUUUCAGGGAGGGCUGGACAGAGAAGGCGGCCACCGCCCGGGCAUCAGGAUGGGAGCGACACCAGAGGACUCAGGAGAGUGCAGCUUGCUCUGUGAGUGGGUGACAACCUCUUGGCGACUCAGGCUCAGCUGAGGAUGGUGCCAGUGUGCCGGAGACAGCCGUCAUACUGCCGGAUAGAGUGGCUCACUUGCAUGUAUUUGGAACAAAAAAAGGAGAUGCCUGGCAGCCCCGCUCUCUGCAGUGCUGUUGAGCCACCAAUUUUUGUGGUUUUGUGACCACAAGUGCUGACUGAUGCGACAUGACCCCAGUCUUGUCAGUGAAUCAUCACCAGGCUGCUUACUGGAAACUGGAUGCAGCAAGGAAAUAGGAUUUAACCGCUCUCUGCCUCCCAGGGCUGUCCGUCUCCCAGAUGCUGCUCUUCAGGGCUCCUGGCGCCAGUGCUGAGGUGAC
rnacentral:lncRNA from 1 species